AUGUCAUCUAUUGCUUCAAACUUCUGGUGGGGUGAAACAGAUGGUCAUAAGAAGGUGCACUGGAUUGGGUGGGACAAAAUGUGCAUGUGAAAGCAUGAAGGAUGGCUGGGCUUUAGGGACCCGGAAGCAUUCAACCAAGCAAUGCUCGCCAAAGCAGCGUGGCGCUUGCUGCAAGUGCAAAACUCGCUGUGUGGACGAGUUCUAAAGGCGCGGUAUUUUCUCGAUGGGUCGAUUCUUAAUGCAACGUGCCCUGCCGGCGGAUCAUACACUUUCAGGAGUAUCUUCCAUGGCCGCGAC
rnacentral:rRNA from 1 species